UACAGAGGCGGCAAGCGUUGUUCGGAAUUAUUGGGCGUAAAGAGCACGUAGGCGGCUGUGUAAGUCGGUUGUGAAAGCCUUCCGCUCAACGGAAGAACGGCAUCCGAUACUGCAUGGCUUGAGUGUGGGAGGGGAGAGUGGAACUUCUGGUGGAGCGGUGAAAUGCGUAGAUAUCAGAAGGAACACCGGCGGCGAAGGCGACUCUCUGGUCCAUAACUGACGCUGA
rnacentral:rRNA from 1 species